rnacentral:rRNA from 1 species
ACGAACGCUGGCGGCAUGCCUAACACAUGCAAGUCGAACGAGACCUUCGGGUCUAGUGGCGCACGGGUGCGUAACGCGUGGGAACCUGCCCUUAGGUUCGGAAUAACUCCCCGAAAGGGGUGCUAAUACCGGAUAAUGUCUUCGGACCAAAGAUUUAUCGCCUUUGGAUGGGCCCGCGUUGGAUUAGCUAGUUGGUAGGGUAAAAGCCUACCAAGGCGACGAUCCAUAGCUGGUCUGAGAGGAUGAUCAGCCACACUGGGACUGAGACACGGCCCAGACUCCUACGGGGGGCAGGAGGGGGGAAUUUUGGAAAAUGGGCGAAAGCCUGAUCCAGAAAUGCCGGGUGAGUGAUGAAGGCUUUAGGGUUGUAAAGCUCUUUUCCCCGGGAUGAAAAUGACAGUCCCGGGAAAAUAAGCCCCGGCUAACCCCGU